UACGUAGGGUCCGAGCGUUGUCCGGAAUUAUUGGGCGUAAAGGGCUCGUAGGCGGUUUGUCACGUCGGGAGUGAAAACUCAGGGCUCAACCCUGAGCGUGCUUCCGAUACGGGCAGACUAGAGGUAUGCAGGGGAGAACGGAAUUCCUGGUGUAGCGGUGGAAUGCGCAGAUAUCAGGAGGAACACCGGUGGCGAAGGCGGUUCUCUGGGCAUGACCUGACGCUGAGGAGCGAAAGCAUGGGGAGCGAACAGG
rnacentral:rRNA from 1 species